rnacentral:rRNA from 1 species
UACGUAGGGUGCGAGCGUUAAUCGGAAUUACUGGGCGUAAAGCGUGCGUAGGUGGUUCGUUGUGUCUGUGGUGAAAGCCCCGGGCUUAACCUGGGAAUGGCCAUGGAAACUGGCGAGCUGGAGUGUGGCAGAGGGGGGUGGAAUUCCGCGUGUAGCAGUGAAAUGCGUAGAGAUGCGGAGGAACACCGAUGGCGAAGGCAACCCCCUGGGCUGACACUGACGCUCAGGCACGAAAGCGUGGGGAGCAAACAGG